CGACAAUUAGCCUAUUACGGACGUCUUCCCAAAACAGUCUCUGUUUUACCCUCCCUCCCUACCCGAAAUCGACCUCUACCCUCUCCCUCCCAACAUCAAUUGAAGCUGCCAGCAAAGUCACGUCCACCGAUUCUUCCACGUUUCCCUUCUAGAGAGCACUGUUGAUACUCAGUUGGCAAUUGUGGUGUUGGCAUCUUGCUCAGCUAUCUGUUCUCUUAUCACAUCAAAGAUAAGGAAGGUUAUAUGCAGCCACCGUAGUCUGGGGACCAAAGUCAUUGGUUGCACCAGUCGAGGCAGAGAACACUGAUGUCAGGCCGUGUUGAAUUUGUAAGUUGGUCACCAAGAAUGGAUUCUAAACAGAAGGUGUGGAAUAGGCCUAAGGCAUGGUGAUAGAGGGUCCCUGUUUGGUCUGACCAUCUCUAUCCUUUGUGUAGAGCGCUAGCCGGUUCCGGUAUAUAAGAUAUCUGUGUGCUAAACUGCCAAUCAAAAUAAAGAUGGUUAUAUAUAAAUAUUGUUUCAUUUAAUUUAGCUGUUUAUAUCUUUAGUGGAGUUCUGUUUGCUGUUCAUGAUUAGUAAUACUAACACGGUUUGGUUUAGAAUACUGACUUUAUAGGAGCUAAUAGUUUCUCACUCACUGGGCUUUUAGGCUUUGCUGAACUUAAAAACAAUAUAGUAGAGGACAUGACUAGUGUUACCUCGAUGAUUGGUGUAGUAAGGAGUUAUGCUUUUGGGUUUCUAUAGGAGGAUACGGGGAAAUUGUCUUAGUCAGCUCUCUUAUAAUAUUGACUAUUUGUACAACUAAUAUUGAAGCUAUAAUAUUGAAGCUCAGAAUCCACGAGACAUGACAGGUGAAACCGGUAUUAUUGGCUAUAUGGCCCCUGAGGUAUGCCUUCUUAAAUGUAUUGAUAAAGCAUGAGUAGUUCAAAGCUUUAAUCAUUUAUUUGCAAACUUGGCUUAUGAAGAAUUAAUCCUCCCUCUCUCUGUGAUAUGCAAACUUGGCUUAUGAAAAAGGUUUUGCCUUUUUCAUAUCUUUUACCAGUAUUGAUUGAUUGUUCUUGGAAUUUCACUUAUUGGGUGUACCAAAUUCUGGAUUUUUUUGUGUUUAUAUCUAUUGGUUAAUGGGGUUUUCGUUGGUUCGUUUGGUACUGAUUCAGAUAUUAGCUUCUUGUUGUUGGUGAAUAGAAGAUGAAACUGGAAAUUGUUGCAAUUGUUUUGCUAUUGUUUUGCUAUCGUCCCAAUGAACCCCAAUACUCUGUUCUGCUUGGUGAUUUCUUGCAGUGUGUUGCGCAAUGUGGUGCAUUAAUUUUCUUUGUGGGGAUAAAGAACUCGAUGCCAAAGAGGCAACUAAGGAGGAAGGCCCCGAAGCAAAAAGCUACUUAGAUGUAAUCAAAGAAGUAAAAUUUUGGCAAUCUCCAGUAAUGCUUUGCAGGUCUAUCUGAUUGGAUCCUUUCUCGAUUUCUAGUUGUUAUCUGUUCUUUAUUAACUGAAACAUUUGUACUAUUGAAUCGGUUGCCCCUUCUCUAUUUUCCAUGACAAUUUGAUUGUGUUCAAAAAAAUUUGAGGGGUUUAAAUAAAAAACUUCUAUUUCCUUGUUUGGAAUAUUAAUAUUUGAUGCAACCAUUUAUGUAUUCAGUAAUGGAGCUAGAAAUUGCUUAUGA